rnacentral:lncRNA from 1 species
GGCACAACGAGGCUCUCAUCCUCUCUGGCGCGCCCUUUCCAGGGGACUUGGGUCUGGUCCGCCGCUGAGGACUCUUCUCCAGACUAUAAGUCCGACGACGGAGCCUCCCGAUUCUAAGGCUGGGCUAUUCCUGGUUCGCUCGCCGUUACUAGGGGAAUUCUUGUAAGUUUCUUUUCCUCCGCUAAUUGAUAUGCCUAAACUCAGCGGGUAGUCCCGCCUGACCUGGGGUCGCGGUCGGAGCGCCUAAGAGUGAUAAGGGUCGGGGAGCCCAAACUGCGACGUGUUGGAGACGCCACAUUACGAGAGUUGAGUUUCAACCACCACUUGUCAUGACGUCCAUCACUGUGGACUCGCAUUUAGGCCAACCGCACGCUCGAGGAGCACGGGAGGCCAGUAUCCGUCCCACGACAGCACCGCAACCAUGAGAAUGGGCGCGGUGUGCGGGGCCGAUGCGAUGCGUGACGCCCAGGCAGACGUGCCCUCGGCCUAAUGGCUUAGGGCUCAACUUGCGUUUAAAGACUCGAUGGUUCACGAGAUUCAGCAAGACACACCAAUGACGCCCAGGCAGACGUGCCCUCGACCUUAUGGCUUCGGGCGCAAUUGCGUUCAAAGACGUGAUGGUUCACGAGAUUCUGCAAUUCACACCAAGUAUCACAUUUUGCUACGUUCUUCAUCGAUGCGAGAGCCGAGAUAUCCGUUGCCAAGAGUCGUUUGUGUUUCAGAAGAAGCACAAGUCCCCCGCGCACGCCGUGAAAGGGGCGCGAACGGCAGGCUUUCAAUUUAGUAUUCCUUGGCGCUUUCCGUGCCAGGGUUCGUUAAUCACCCGGCACGCACGCAAGCGCGCGCGUCGGGGAUAUAGGAGGAAGACGCACGGACGGAGGCCGAAGCAUCCCGGCCGCACCGCGCCCCAGUUUUUAAACAAGUUCGCGGGUCGUUUUGCCUUGCAAGUUUCGACAAUGAUCCUUCCGCAGGUUCACCUAUGGAAACCUUGUUACGACUUCUCCUUCCUCUAAAUGAUAAGGUUCAAUGGACUUCUCGCGACGUCGCGGGCAGCGAACCGCCCACGUCGCCGCGAUCUCACCUAUGGAAACCUUGUUACGACUUCUCCUUCCUCUAAAUGAUAAGGUUCAAUGGACUUCUCGCGACGUCGCGGGCAGUGAAUCGACCACGUUGCCGAGAUCCAAACAUUUCACCGGAUCAUUCAAUCGGUAGGAGCGACGGGCGGUGUGAACAGAGGGUAGGGACGUAGUCAACGUGAGCUGAUAACUCGCGCUUACUAGGAAUUCCUCGUUGAAGACCAACAAUUGCAAUGAUCUAUCCCCAUCACGAUGAAAUUUCAAAGGUUACCCGGGCCUGUCGGCCGAGGCUAUANNNNNNNNNNNNNNNNNNNNNNNNNNNNNNNGAACACCACUCAUGUGCCGCAUCUAUCCCCAUCACGAUUAAAUUUCAAAGAUUACCCGGGCCUGUCAGCCAAGGCUAUAAACUCGUUGAAUACAUCAGUGUAGCGUGCGUGCGGCCCAGAACAUCAAAGGGCAUCAUAUAACUAUUAUUGCCUAAAUAAUAGCUAGUUAGCAGGCUGAGGUCUCGUUCAUUAACGGAAUUAACCAGACAAAUCGCUCAACCAACUAAGAACGACCAUGCACCACCACCCAUAGAAUCAAGAAAGAGCUCUCAGUCUGUCAAUCCUUACUAUGUCUGGACCGGUAAGUUUCCUCGUGUUGAGUCAAAUUAAGCCGCAGGCUCCACUCCUGGUGGUGCCCUUCCGUCAAUUCCAUUAAGUUUUAGCCUUGCGACCAUACUCCCCCCGGAACCCAAAAACAUUGAUUUCUCAUAAGGUGCCGGUGGAGUCCUAAAAGCAACAUCCGUCGAUCCCUGGUCGGCAUCGUUUAUGGUUGAGACUAGGAUGGUAUCUGAUCGUCUUCGAGCCGCAAACUUUCGCUCUUGAUUAAUGAAAACAUCCUUGGCAAUUGCAUUCGCAGUUGUUCGUCUUUCGGAAAAUCCUAAGGCUGGGCUGUUCCCAGUUCGCUCGUUGUUACUAGGGGAAUUCCUGUAAGUUUCUUUUCUUUCGCUUAUUGAUAUGCUUAAACUCAUCGGGUAGUCCCCCUGACUUGGGGUCGCGGUCGGAGCGCCUAAGCUCGAUAAGGGUCUGGGAGCCCAAACAUGUGACGGGUUGGAGCCGCGACAUUAUGAGAGUUGAGUUUCAACCACCACUUGUCGUGACGUCCGUCGCUGUGGACUCGCAUUUAGGCCAACCGCACGCUCGAGGAGCACGGGAGGCUAGUAUCCGUCCCAAAACAGCACCGCAACCAUGAGAAUGGGCGCGAUGUGCGGGGCCGAUGCGAUGCGUGACGCCCAGGCAGACGUGCCCUCGGCCUAAUGGCUUAGGGUGCAACUUGCGUUUAAAGACACGAUGGUUCACGGGAUUCUGCAAGUCACACCAAGUAUCACAUUUCGCUACGUUCUUCAUCGAUGCGAGAGCUGAGAUAUCCGUUGCCGAGAGUCGUUUGUGUUUCAAAAGAAGCACAAGUCCCCCGCGCACGCCGCGAAUGGGGCACGAGGGGCAAGCUUUCAAAGGCCUAAUGGCUUAGGGUGCAACUUGCGUUUAAAGACACGAUGGUUCACGGGAUUCUGCAAGUCACACCAAGUAUCACAUUUCGCUACGUUCUUCAUCGAUGCGAGAGCUGAGAUAUCCGUUGCCGAGAGUCGUUUGUGUUUCAAAAGAAGCACAAGUCCCUCGUGCACGCUACGAACGGGGCGCGAAGGGAAGUGUUUCAAUUUAGUAUUCCUUGGCGCUUUCUGCACCGGGGUUCGUUAAUCACCCAGCACGCACGCAAGCGCGUGCGUCAUGGAUAUAGGAGGAAGCCGCACGGAUGGAGGUUGAAGCAUCCGGACCGCACCGCUCCCCAGUUUUUAAACAAGUUCGCGGGUCGUUCUGCCUUGCAGGUUUUGACACUGAUCCUUCCGCAGGUUGACCUACGGAAACCUUGUUACGACUUCUCCUUCCUCUAAAUGAUAAUGUUCAAUGGACUUCUCGCGACGUCGCGGGCAGUGAACCGCCCACGUCGCCGCGAUCCGAACAUUUCACCAGAUCAUUCAAUUGGUAUUAGUGACGGGCGGUGUGUACAAAGGGCAAGGAUGUAGUCAACGCGAGCUGAUGACUCGCGCUUACUAGGAAUUCUUCGUUGAAGACCAACAAUUGCAACGAUCUAUCCCCAUGUCGUUGAAAUUUCAAAGAUUACCUAGGCUUGUCGGCCUAGGCUAUAAGCUCGUUGAAUACAUCAGUGUAGCGCACGUGCGGCCCAGAAUAUCUAAGGGCAUCACAGACCUGUUAUUGCCUCAAAAUUCCGCGGCCUAAAAGGCCGUAGUCCCUCUAAGAAGCUGGCCGCGAAGGGAUACCUCCGUAUAGCUAGUUAGCAGGCUGAGGUCUCGUUCGUUAACAGAAUUAACCAGACAAAUCGCUACACCAACUAAGAACGGUCAGCGAAGGGAUACCUCUGCAUAGCUAGUUAGCAGGCUGAGGUCUCGUUCGUUAAUGGAAUUAACCAGACAAAUCGCUCCACCAACAAUGAACAGCCAUGCACCACCACCCAUAGAAUCAAGAAAGAGCUCUCAGUCUGUCAAUCCUAACUAUAUCUUGACCUGGUUAGUUUCCCCGUGUUGAGUCAAAUUAAGUCGCAGCCUCCACUCCUGGUGGUGCCCUUCUGUCCAUUGCUUUAAGUUUCAGCCUUGCGACCAUACUCCCUCCGGAACCCAAAAACCUUGAUUUCUCAUAAGGUGCCCGCAUAGUCCUAAAAGCAACAUCCACCGAUCCCUGGUCGGCAUCGUUUAUGGUUGACACUAGGACGGUAUCUUAUCGUCUUCGAGCCCCCAACUUUCGUUCUUGAUUAAUGAAAACAUCCUUGGCAAAUGCUUUCGCAGUUGUUCGUCUUUCAUAAAUCCAAGAAUUUCACCNNN